rnacentral:lncRNA from 1 species
GGUUGGUCCCGGCGGGGGAAGGAGAAAGUGAGACUCGGUGUCAUCACCAAUCCGUCGCCAGAAGGGGAGGAAACUGGAAUCCAGCAGCGGCGAGCAGCAGCUGGGCGGUCACAUCUGGAAAUGGAAAGCCGACCUCCCCCUCCUCCUCCACCUCUUCCUCCUCCUCCUCCUCCUCCUCUCACCCAGGAUCACUUCCGAAACCACUUGGCCUUCAGCCCCUGCCUCGGCCAGAGGUUUCAUUUUUAACUGAAUAUUUACGAAAGCUGAAAGCGUGCGAGGGGGGUGGGGUGGAAAUAGCGGCUGCUUCUUUUCCAAGGAUUUAUUUAAUGGGGAUGUGUUCAAGGCAAGACCGAAUUCAGAAGGAUAUCGACGUCGUGAUCCAGAAGUCCAGAGCUGAGGACUGCCUGUUUGCAGGACAACUGUGCAGACUACAAAGCUUCGGAAAACCGGAGAGGCUGAGUCGACUAAUCGUGUUGUUGCACGUUAGAAACGCUUGCAUUGCCUGACUCUGAAACCAGAAGGGCGGCCGAAUGGCCUUCACCCUCCAUUAACCCUCGCCUCCUUCAGAAGCCAGUGCCUCUGGAAAUGCCUGGAUCUGCGACCCCAGCCUGAGCCUAGUAGGGCCCAAGGGAAGCUGAACGCCCCGACGGCUCUCAUGAAAUCACAGAGAUCAGCAACUCUAGAGUGCGAUGAAGAAGCUUCACUCUGGGAGAACCCCCUUCGUGACCACGGUCUCUUUCCUGCCAGGGCACCGGCAACAGUUUUCCGUUUGUGCCUACUCCACCUGCUGUCUUUGUUGGGUCAGCGAACAUCGCCUCCCUCUACCGCUCAAUCAGCAAAAGGGACCGCCCUUGAGGACCUCACCCGCGGCUCACUCCCCUCCCAACUUCGCGGGCAUCGCCUCCGGUCGCCUCUUCCGAAGGCCUAACGAGCAUGUUAGCUGCGAACGGAGGUGAGGAGGCUCCGCUGACUGACCGGUGCCCAUGUCCAGGGCACGCACAAACGCCAUGACUUGGCUUGGCCUCUCUCUUAGUUAUUCACAAGCUCAGCCCGAUAGGCACCUCUGGGGCGGCGACGGCAAAGAGGGUGCGCUUAUUAAGUGCAGCUCCACGGGGACUGGCCUCUGCACGGCUGUGUACACCUGAGCGAGACGCUCAGUCGCUCUCUAAAGCCGCUUCUGCGGAUGACAGACACGGAGAUAAACGUGAGAGGUGGCCCACCACGACUUGCCCUCCUUUGCCCGGGUUUGCCCCUCGCUGCGGAGGCUGUUCUACAUCUGGCCCUUGGAGCAGGCCGGCUGACAGCGUGGUAAAGGAAGAUUUCUGCGGGAGGGCGGCCAGUGCAAAACAAUUCCCUGACCGGGAAUCGAACCCGGGCCGUGGCGCUUUCAGCACCGAAUCCUAGCCACUAGACAACCAUGCAGAUGCGGAAAGCUGCUUUCUCUCCCUUCUUCGACCUGAAGCGACACUUUCCUGUGCUCUAGGAGGACUUGGGUCUUGUGAGAGUCUCCCUUUGCUCCUGGAGUCGUCUCACAAGGCCGUUCACUCCCUGCUUUCUUCAAAAAAAGAACCUGCAGGCGACACACCAAGGGCUCCACGAGGGAGUCCUGAGUACUGGAGCGAGUUGCGGCCACGCGGCCGCAGCUCACCACUGGCCUAGAGAUGCCCUUUGCCAGGCGGCAGCAACUGACAAGAUGGUCGCGGGUCGCCGGGUCCGGAGCCGCCCACCAGGUUGCCAGGAGGAGGCGGGAGCGGGGAGGCGCCCGAGGUGAGACGGGGGCACCCUCUGCAUCAUAAAGGACCCAGACCCCGGCACCCUCAACAUCAUAAGGAAUCAGACGGAUGCGGAAACCGAGGCGGGCUGGAUAGGAAACUCUUUCCAGGAAGGCUCCGGGGCACUCAACUGGUCUCCAACCUUCCCCUGCAACCUGUGACGCCUGCCAUUUUCCCAUUUUAGGCGAUGGCAACGCAACCCCUCCGUUUGCUCUGGGCAAAACUUCGAGAGUUCCCUCUGAAGCUGGAGCUUUUUCCUCAGAUCCAAGAUCCAAUUGGUCACCAAUUCGUGAUUUCCGUCGGCCAAGUGCGUGGGCAUUGAUCUACACGCGAGUUUCUCCACCUCUGCCGAAUGGCUACUUCGGGGUGGGGGAGGGGCCCUCCCGCCGUGGAUUGCAAGGUGUUUAGCAGCAUCUGUCUCCUCCGCUGACUAGACACAUGCCAGGGGGAUAACAUUCUCCCUCCCGCUUCCCCCAGCCGCGGCCUAGUGUCCCAGCGGGGUUGGGAGAGGCAUGUGAGGGCGAAGUUGCCCCCUGUUGAGAACCAUUGCUGCGCGUAGUCCUUCUCUCUGAACUUGUGCAGAGGACUCUCCAGGUGAAGGCUCAAGGGUGGAUCCAGCUCGAGACACCCUCGCUCCCCCUCACAGUCGGACCUUAGGAUUUAGGCUUUAACAUCUCCACAUCAUGAGAUUCGAAACCUUUAGGUCUUGUCUUCCGUUCUGUCCUCCAAAUCGGCCUCUUCCGAGCCUGUUGACCAGGGCCAGCCGGGCAGAGGGCUGGGCUCGCUCAACGAGGCUCCUCUCGCACCUCCUGGAGCUUCAGGCUUCUUUCCGUUGCAGAGAAGCUUUAUGGGCCAAUUCGUUCGGCAUCCCCGGGGGCAGGUGCGCGGUGCGCGGGGAAGAAGAGGAUUUGACUGCGGUUCUCCACCCCCGGCGCCCAACCUCCACCCCGGUGCGCGCGCUCUUCCAGGCUCCUGCUGGUCCCACUUGCCAGGAGUUAGGUCUCAGGUCAGCCUGAGCUCCUGAGACGCCCAGGCCCGGAAAGACACGUAGGGGAAACCAUCUGCUCACUUCUGUCCUGUCCGGAAGGGAUCCCUUUCUGACGGGAAAGAAAGGCGCUAAACAAGCACUGGCCUUGAGAUAAGCAAUGCUGAAGCACUUGCAGCUCACCUAUUACCAUAAACUGACUGAGCCCUCCCUACACAAGCCGUAACUACUGCUUUGAUUGGACAAGAGACUGAUUUCAGUAGUUUUCUCUUGAUAAGAGACCACUGGCCGUGGGCGGGUUCUGGACAGUUUACAGAAGCUAUGCACUUGAUUGCCUUUGUGUCCCUGCUUCACCUUUUGAAGCAUAGGGCCUAAUUAUAAUGUAUUUAAAUGUUGUCUCCACCCCAAAGUGAACAUGGGUUGCAUGUAACAGGCAUGUUUACUCAGCAUGCAUGCAGCAGGAUCCCUUCACAAAUAUUCAGAGCUCCCCCUAUUCCCUGUUGAAUAUGUAUAUGUGGCCAGCCAGAUCAACGUAAAUCACUAUUCGCCCUCCCCUCCCUGGAAACCUACUUUUCGGGUUUCAGCAGGAAGCUAUGCCUCCCAGUCUGUCAGAAUGGCCACUUGCAGGCUGUAACCCUUUAUAAAAAAAUAAAAUCUCCUUUCUAAAUUUA